UCGUAAUGAAAUAAUCGUAAAAGCUUUAAUGAACGCAAUUGGAGGGCAAGUCUGGUGCCAGCAGCCGCGGCAAUUCCAGUUCCAAUAGUGUAUACUAAAGUUGCUGCAGUUGAAAAGCUCGUAGUUGGAUCUCGGCUUGCUAGCGCGCGAGGCGUGUGAGUAGGCCUUUGCUGUAGUUGAGUGCUACGGCUUUACCUUGAACAAAAUAGAGUGCUUAAGGCAAGCAUUCUGCUUGAAUAUCUCAGCAUGGAAUAAUAGAAAAAGACUUUUCUGUUGGUUUACCAGUAGUAAAAGUAAUGAUUAACAGAGACAGACGGGGGCAUUCGUAUCGCACCGCUAGAGGUGAAAUUCGUAGAUCGGUGCGGGACGAACUACAGCGAAAGCAUUUGCCAAGGAUGUUUUCAUUAAUCAAGAACGAAAGUUGGAGUAUCGAAGUCGAUUAGAUCUCGUCGUAGUUCCAACUAUAAACGAUGCCAACUAGCACUCCGCUAAUAAGUAUUAGUACGUUAGCGGGUUGCUUCCGGGAAACCAAAGUCUUUGGGCUCCGGGGGAAGUAUGGUUGCAAAGCUGAAACUUAAAGGAAUUGACGGAAGGGCACCACCAGGAGUGGAGCCUGCGGCUCAAUUUGACUCAACACAGAAAAACUCACCCGGGCCGAACACAGUAAGGAUUGACAGACUGAUAGCUUUUUCUUGAUACUGUGGGUAGUGGUGCAUGGCCGUUGUUGGUUGGUGGAGUGAUCUGUCUGGUUAAUUCCGAUAACGAACGAGACUCAGGCCUACUUACUAGUUGUUCGAUUGCUGGUCGAUCAACUUCUUAGAGGGAUCAGUGUUUAAAACACUUGAAAAUGAGCAAUAACAGGUCUGUGAUUGCCCUUAGACGUUCGGGGCUGCACGCGCGCUACAAUGGAGAAAGCAGUGGGUGUCUUGCUUGGCAAAGCAAGCUGAGCCUUAAAAUUUCUUCGUGACAGGGAUCGAGGCUUGUAAUUAUUCCUCGUGCACAAGGAAUUCCUAGUAAUCGCAGGUCAUUAGCCUGCAAUGAUUACGUCCCUGCCCUUUGUACACACCGCCCGUCGCUACUACCGAUG
rnacentral:rRNA from 1 species